CCUACGGGGGGCAGCAGUGGGGAAUAUUGCACAAUGGGCGCAAGCCUGAUGCAGCAACGCCGCGUGAGCGAAGAAGGUCUUCGGAUCGUAAAGCUCUGUCCUUGAGGAAGAAGGAAGUGACGGUACUCAAGGAGGAAGCCCCGGCUAACUACGUGCCAGCAGCCGCGGUAAUACGUAGGGGGCAAGCGUUAUCCGGAAUUAUUGGGCGUAAAGAGUACGUAGGUGGUUUUGUAAGCGCGGGGUGAAAGGCAGUGGCUUAACCAUUGUAAGCCUUGCGAACUGCAAGACUUGAGUGCAGGAGAGGAAAGCGGAAUUCCUAGUGUAGCGGUGAAAUGCUUAGAUAUUAGGAGGAACACCAGUGGCGAAGGCGGCUUUCUGGACUGUAACUGACACUGAGGUACGAAAGCGUGGGGAGCAAACAGGAUUAGAUACCCGGGU
rnacentral:rRNA from 1 species